UACGUAAGUGGCGAGCGUUAUCCGGAAUUACUGGGCGUAAAGCGUGCGUAGGCGGUUUAGUGUGUGGGAUUUGAAAGCCCGGGGGCUCAACCCCGGGAGGCGGGCGGAUACUGUCGGGCUAGAGUCCGGAAGAGGCAAGUGGAAUUCCUGGUGUAGCGGUGAAAUGCGCAGAUAUCAGGAGGAACACCGAUGGCGAAGGCAGCUUCUGGGACGUAUGACGCUGAGACGCGAAAGCGUGGGGGAGCAAAACAGG
rnacentral:rRNA from 1 species